rnacentral:rRNA from 1 species
UAGGGAAUCUUCCGCAAUGGACGCAAGUCUGACGGAGCAACGCCGCGUGAGUGAAGAAGGAUUUCGGUUCGUAAAACUCUGUUGUUAGAGAAGAACAGCGCAGAGAGUAACUGUUAUGCGUGUGACGGUAUCUAACCAGAAAGCCACGGCUAACUACGUGCCAGUAGCCGCGGUAAUACGUAGGUGGCAAGCGUUGGACGGAUUUCUUGGGCGUAAAGCGAGCGCAGGCGGUCAAUUAAGUCUGAUGUGAAAGCCCCCGGCUCAACCGGGGAGUGUCAUUGGAAACUGGUUGCCUUGAGUGCAGAAGAGGAGAGUGGAAUUCCAUGUGUAGCGGUGAAAUGCGUAGAUAUAUGGAGGAACACCAGUGGCGAAGGCGACUCUCUGGUCUGUAACUGACGCUGAGGCUCGAAAGCGUGGGUAGCAAACAGG